rnacentral:rRNA from 1 species
ACGAACGCUGGCGGCGCGCCUAAUACAUGCAAGUCGAGCGAGAAGACGUAGCAAUACGUUUGUAAAGCGGCGAACGGGUGAGGAAUACAUGGGUAACCUACCCUCGAGUGGGGAAUAACUAGCCGAAAGGUUAGCUAAUACCGCGUACGCUCCUUGGACUUCGGUUCAGGGAGGAAAGCGAUACCGUGGGUAUCGCGCUCUUGGAUGGGCUCAUGUCCUAUCAGCUUGUUGGUGAGGAACGGCUCACCAAGGCUUCGACGGGUAGCUGGUCUGAGAGGACGAUCAGCCACACUGGCACUGCGACACGGGCCAGACUCCUACGGGAGGCAGCAGUAAGGAAUAUUGCGCAAUGGGCGAAAGCCUGACGCAGCGACGCCGCGUGGGGGA